CAACUGUUUUGACCGUUGGGAGACCUAAAUUAAACCUCAGUCCUUAAGCGUGGACUCAUAGUUACACAGGUCACCAGUCCUAGGAUGAGCGAAGAGAAGCCAGCAGAACCUGCAGCAGAAGCAGCUCCUGAGGGAGAAGGAGGAGAACAACUAGAGGAGGAUGCUGAGGUGCUGAACCCCCCGUGUAUCGACCUGACGGACUACAAGCUCAAGAUCGACCACUUCGACCAGAUGCACGUGCUGGAGGAGGAGGGGAAACUAGAAGGGGCGGAGAACUUUAGA